rnacentral:rRNA from 1 species
UACGUAGGGGGCAGGCGUUAAUCGGAAUUACUGGGCGUAAAGCGUGCGCAGGCGGUUUGCUAAGACAGGUGUGAAAUCCCCGGGCUUAACCUGGGAACUGCGCUUGUAACUGGCAAGCUAGAGUGUGGCAGAGGGGGGUGGAAUUCCACGUGUAGCAGUGAAAUGCGUAGAGAUGUGGAGGAACACCGAUGGCGAAGGCGGCCCCCUGGGCUAACACUGACGCUCAUGCACGAAAGCGUGGGGAGCAAACAGG